ensembl:misc_RNA 7SK 7SK RNA
AGAUGUGAGGGCCAUCUGGCUGUGACAUCUGUCACCCCAUUGAUCGUCAGGGUUCACUGGGCUGGGGGUGAUUGCCAGGGUUGAUCUGGCUAACCUGGCUCACUAGGCAGAUGUUCCUUUCCUCCCUCACCACUCCAUGUGUGUCCCUCCCAAAACUGUGCUUGGUCCAAGAGGACGACCAUCCCCGAUAGAGGAGGGCCGGUUUUCGGUCACGGGUAAAUGAGUAGCCGCGCUCCCCUGCUAGAACUUGCAAACAAGCUCUCAAGAAUGUGCAAAAUCGGAAACUCAUACACCGCAGGUUGCUGGAAGGAAUAUAAAAUACUGCGAAAACUUUAAAAAGCAUUUUGGCAGUUU